rnacentral:tRNA from 1 species
AUUUAAAUAGUUUAUUAAAAUAUUGAUUUGUGGAGUCAAAGAUGUAGUUUCUACUUUAGAUA